AUGAAUGAGGGUUGCAACCGCGAGGCAACGCUCAAAUAUGGCAGUCAUCCCAAGAUCUGCAUGGACGAACGUUGCCUACCCUCUGAAUAGUUAAUGCACUAUGGCACAGAUUCAGUAAGUAUUUCCUGGAAAAAAAAGCAUAAUAGAGGUUUGGUUGUUUAAGAAACGUAACCCAUUGUUUCAACUGCCACGCCAGAGGUGGCAUCGAAACAGCAACCUCUAAAAUAAACAUGGAUACUUUGAAGAACAAGCUAAUUAACUAUAAUUCCCCAAAUAAAGGCAUUCCUGCCAACAUCUUGCUGCUGGGAAGGUCUGGCCAUGGAAAGUCAAGCUUAAUCAACACUUGGGAAACGGCAAUAAGUGAUCGAAUUAGAUCACGUGCAGUAACGGCUUCGACCAAGGGUUCAAGUACAACUCAACAUUUUCUAAAGUAUCAACUUACAUCGUUUCAAAACCAAAAGGAAACACCAAUUAACGUAAAUGUCAUGGACACCAUCGGAUGGGAACCUCAGACAUUCACAUUUGAAAUGUUUAACAAGAUUCUCAAUGGUCAGAUUGAAGAUAAACAAAGUUUUUCUGACAAGACAGAAAUGACGUCUGAACCAAGGAACAAGGUGCAUUGCGUGGCCUACGUCGCUGAUCUGAAUCAAUUUCAAAAUGUGGAAUUAGAUGACUUGGAGAUUUUUAAGAGAUUUGGGAAGUAUGCACGUCAAAAAAAGAAUAUCAACACGUUCGUUAUAAUUACCAAAGUAGAUGUGUGUUUACCUGAGGGAACAUCAAUUAGUGACAUCUACAAAGUAAAGAACAUUGAGACGAUGAUGAAAGAAAUAUGCUCAGCUUUAGAAUGCGAUGAGAAGUUCGUCUUCCCAAUGACAAACUAUCGCGACUGCAUGAACGUGAACACCAACACAAAUAUCCUCGCCUUGUCCCUCCUGAACGCUCUCGUUGACGCCGCCUCUGAUUUCAUAUGCGAUAAUAACGACGGCAGCAAGUUAAAUUAAACAAACUCCCACUCCACAUUAGCCUCUCACCCUUACUUAUUUCCUGUCGCUCAGCCCUCAGGUGCUUUCUCCUUUCCAUUGCUUUUCUAUUCCACUGUAUCCACCCUACCGGUUUAUUCUCUCGCCUCAGUUCCACUCCCAGGUCCCCCAGUCCUCUUCCUCCUAUGACCCCAAUUCCUGGCCGGGCUCCCACGUUUCGCUUUCUCUAUGCACACCUAACCCCAUCUCUUCUCCGGCUCUAACGCGGUUCUUCUCAUUCAGCUCAACUCUCCGGCAUCAGACACUCUGCCCCUAUCACCCUUCACCUACCCUCGUCCAUGCCCAUUUUACUACUGCAUGCAUGUGCCACAUGCUCCGCUGCCUCUCAUCCACGUUGCACCAAUCAGACGCUCUCACCAUCAGACCUUAUUCUCACUUACCUACCGCAGAAACAUCAGCCCCUGUCCUUCCAUACAUUCCAUCACUCCACUGAUAGCUGCUCCACCCCACUCGUUACUCCAUUUACCCCGUGUGUACCUACGUUGGCUUGCAUUGUAAAGCGCCCUGGAAAGGGCUCUGCCAUGUAAAUACUUACUAGAACAUAAUGUUCUACUGUGCUAAGAAACAGCAUGCUAUGCAGUGGAUUUAGAAAAUGUCGAAAUGAGAUGUGGUAAAAAAACAAUUGCUCGGAUAUUACUGUGCAUCUCGAUGAAAGCUUGUAGAAUCAAUAGGUGUAACUACAUGUUGAUCUGCAUGUGACUUAGAAAUGUCUGACGAUAAUGAAUAUUAAUCUACAGUUUCAGCAUUCAAAGAUGUCACUUGAAACCUACUGCAUGCGAAUUAGGAUUUAUAAUUACGGGAUGUACCCUUUUUCCUGAAGAGAUGUGGUUAUUAUGAGGCCUCCCUCCACUGCAAAUAUCUAGAAUCAUCUCACUGUUGCUUCUGAAUUUAAUGUAUCUUCAAUUCGAAUUAUAACUAAUCUGCAUCGUUGAGGUAUGGGUUUAUUGUCUUAAGGAGAUGUGACAAUGUCGUGAAUCUGCGUAACUCCACGUCGGCCUUCAAUGAACGUACGUUAGCGCCACCACCUUCAUUGUGAAGAAGCAAACUAUAUUCUGCUAGUUUGUUGGUGUACUUACAACAACAUUACGGCAUUACUGGGGUAUUGGUUACAGGUAGAGUAAUUGAUUAGUACAAUAAUUAAAAUAACUGUGAGUGAUUGGUAAUUGAUUGUGUGCUCUGCACACGGUGACAAAAUAGCACCUGGACAAAGCUUUAGAAUUGACAGUCUGCAUGUCCAAAUCAACUGUUGUCACUGUGUAAUAUAGCUCUCAGAGACACUGUCUUGUUCUUUCCGUACAUUUAUUUGGAAUAAAGUCCAUUCACAACUUAA